rnacentral:rRNA from 1 species
GACGAACGCUGGCGGCGUGCUUAACACAUGCAAGUCGAGCGGUAAGGCCCUUUCGGGGGUACACGAGCGGCGAACGGGUGAGUAACACGUGGGUGACCUGCCCUCAGCUCUGGGAUAAGCCUGGGAAACCGGGUCUAAUACCGGAUAUGACUCCAUGACGCAUGUUGUGGGGUGGAAAGCCUUGUGCGGCUGAGGAUGGGCCCGCGGCCUAUCAGCUUGUUGGUGGGGUGAUGGCCUACCAAGGCGACGACGGGUAGCCGGCCUGAGAGGGCGACCGGCCACACUGGGACUGAGACACGGCCCAGACUCCUACGGGAGGCAGCAGUGGGGAAUCUUGCGCAAUGGACGAAAGCCUGAUCCAGCCAUGCCGCGUGCGGGAAGAAGGCCU